AGUAGAAUGGCUGAGGUGUAAAGGUGAUAGAUUGUAAAUCUAUUGAGGGGUGAAUCCCUUCUACUA
rnacentral:tRNA from 1 species